rnacentral:rRNA from 1 species
UACGGGGGGGGCAAGCGUUGUUCGGAAUUACUGGGCGUAAAGGGUUCGUAGGUGGCUUGCUAAGUCAGACGUGAAAUCCCUCAGCUUAACUGGGGAACUGCGUCUGAUACUGGCGAGCUUGAGUGCAGGAGAGGAACGCAGAAUUCCAGGUGUAGCGGUGAAAUGCGUAGAUAUCCGGAGGAACACCGAUGCGAAGGCAGCUGCCUGGCCUGACACUGACGCUGAGGUGCGAAAGCGUGGGGAGCGAACGGG